GGGUGGGAUCAUACCAACGUUAAUGCAUUGGAUCCCAUCAUAACUCCGUAGUUAAGCGUGCUUGGGAUAGAGCAGUAUUGGGAUGGGUCACCUCCCAGGAAGUCCUAGUGUUGCACCCU
rnacentral:rRNA from 1 species